UACGAAGGGGGCUAGCGUUGCUCGGAAUUACUGGGCGUAAAGGGCGCGUAGGCGGCACUGUUAGUCAGGCGUGAAAGUCCUGGGCUCAACCUGGGAACUGCGCUUGAUACGGCAGAGCUAGAGGAUGGAAGAGGGUCGCGGAAUUCCCAGUGUAGAGGUGAAAUUCGUAGAUAUUGGGAAGAACACCGGUGGCGAAGGCGGCGACCUGGUCCAUUACUGGACGCUGAGGCGCGAAGGCGUGGGGAGCGAACGGG
rnacentral:rRNA from 1 species